UACGUAGGGUGCAGGCGUUAAUCGGAAUUACUGGGCGUAAAGCGUGCGCAGGCGGUCUUUUAAGUCAGAUGUGAAAUCCCCGGGCUUAACCUGGGAACUGCGUUUGAAACUGGAAGGCUAGAGUGUGGCAGAGGGGGGUGGAAUUCCACGUGUAGCAGUGAAAUGCGUAGAUAUGCGGAGGAACACCGAUGGCGAAGGCAAUCCCCUGGACCUGUACUGACGCUCAUGCACGAAAGCGUGGGGAGCAAACAGG
rnacentral:rRNA from 1 species